UAAAAAUUUUUUGUUUAAAUAUUGGUAUUGCAUAUCAUUAAAAGAAAAUAUCAUUUUUAUGAAUAAUAGAAAUAAAAGGUAGAAAGAUUUAUAGUUUUAUUGUUUCAUAAUAAAAAAUAAAAUCUUUAGUGUUGAUAUGUCGACUUUUAUGAUAUCUGUAUUUUUGAGAAUAUUAGAAAAUUAUAUUUAUUUAUUAAUUAUUAAAAAUUAAAAAUUUGAAGUGUUUUUAUUUUAUGUUUUAUAACAUUUUUUAAUUAUUUUUACAUUGUUUUAUUAUUUAAUAAGUUUUUAUUAAAUAAAUAAUUUUUAAAUUAGUAUAUUUUUAAAUUUGGUUAUUUUUUAAAAUAUAAUUAAAGAACUUGAAGUCUUGAUCAAAUGUUUUUUAAAGACUUAGGCUUUUUAAUAAAGCUAGCUUCUGCCCUAUGAAUUUUUAAAUGGCAGUCUUAGCGUGAGGACAUUAAGGUAGCAAAAUAAUUUGUGCUUUUAUUAAGUUCCAGUAUGAAUGAAGUUAUUGGUUAGUUCUUUUUAUAUUUUAAUUUAGAAUUUAAUAUUUAUUUAAGAAAAAAUAAAUACAUUUAACAAAGAUAAGUCUUCGGAAAUUCUUUUAUUUAAAUUUCAUUAGUUAUUUAAAUAUAUUUUCUAGGGCAGAAUAUUAUAUAAUUUUUGUUACUAUUAAUAAUUUAAUGAAUUACUCCGGAGUUAACAGAAAAUCAUACCUAAUCUAGUUCUUAUAGUAAGGUAAGUUUUACAUCGAUGUUGUAUUCAAGUAAUCUAAGAGAGGAGAAGAUUUAGUUUUUUAGACUGUUCUUCUAUUAAUUAACUUGACGUGAUAUUAGUUUAAUUCAUUGUGAGAUAGAAUUGUUUAUCU
rnacentral:rRNA from 1 species